AUUGUGGAAGCAAUUAGAAAUGAUCAAGGCACUUGUUUUCUUUUGAGCACAACUACAUCCAAAAACAACUUACCUGUGAGCAGAGAGAGUAUUUGUUAACCCCUUUGAGCUUAAACAGUUGAAUCUCGGCUUGAAAUAAAGCGAGAUCUCAAAAAUCUUUUUUUUACAACCCGGAAAAUCUUGAUUAUUGUUCUUUUGCCGUAAAAAGUUAAGAGCAUUCACUUAGGGUGAGUAAGAAAUAAGUUGGGGAGAACGAAAAAGAAUCGGUAAGUACCACAACUCUUGAAAAAGAAAAGAAAAACCGAGCAAGCAUAGAAAAAUAUAUGUAUAGAAAAUAUAGAAAAGAAACAUCUGUUUUGUAUAUAUGAUGUGAAAGAAAAGAACAAAAAUAAAAAGAAUGAAAAUGAAUGCUUGCUUGGAAGAAAAAUACUGAAAAAUAAAAAUUGAGUUGUGGAAUAUGUGUUGUGAAGGUUUCAAAUAAGAAACAAAUGAAACAAAGUCGAGUAGUGUGAAUAAUACUGUGAAUGUCUCUUUUGCAUCGGCACUUUCGUUUCAAUGGCCUUAGAAAUGACCCUUGUUUGUUAACCUAACCAAGCUUCAACCGAAAAGCCCUUAGUGAUCUUUAUGCUUCCACAGUACCAUUUAUAAUUGUUAGACAUUGUAUGAAUCU
rnacentral:lncRNA from 1 species